GAUGAACGCUGGCGGCGUGCCUAAUACAUGCAAGUCGAGCGAACAGACGAGGAUCUUUCUCCUCUGACGUUAGCGGCGGACGGGUGAUUAACACUUGGAUAACCUACCUAUAAUACUUGGAUAACUUCGUGAAACCGGAGCUAAUACCGGAUAAUAUAUUGAACCGCAUGGUUCAAUAGUUAAAGACGUUUUUUCUGUCUCUUAUAGAUUGUUCCGCGCCGCAUUAGCUAGUUGGUAAGGUAACGGCUUACCAAGGCAACGAUGGGUAGCCGACCUGAGAGGGGGAUCGGCAAAACGGGAAAAGAGAAAGGGAACAGAGUACAACGGGAGGCAGCAGUAGGGAAUAUUACGCAAUGGGCGAAAGCCUGACGGAGCAACGCCGCGUGAGUGAUGAAGGUAUUAGGAUCGUAAAACUAUGUUAUUAGGGAAGAACAAAUGUGUAAGUAAAUAUGCACGUAUUGACGGUACCAAAUCAGAAAGCAACGGCUAACUACGUG
rnacentral:rRNA from 1 species